rnacentral:rRNA from 1 species
UACAGAGGGGGCAAGCGUUGUUCGGAAUUACUGGGCGUAAAGGGCGCGUAGGCGGCCUUCUAAGUCAGACGUGAAAUCCCCGGGCUCAACCCGGGAACUGCGUCUGAUACUGGAAGGCUUGAAUCCGGGAGAGGGAUGUGGAAUUCCAGGUGUAGCGGUGAAAUGCGUAGAUAUCUUGAGGAACACCGGUGGCGAAGGCGGCAUCCUGGACCAAUAUUGACGCUGAGGAGCGAAAGCUAGGGGAGCAAACGGG